UCAUUAAUUUAAUUACCCCCAAUGUUGCUAACCGGUAUAAAAGACCCGCUACCAUCAACAAAUUCGAAGGCAGGCAGUGAACGAAGCUUUCUGAUUGGUCGCCUCUUCGUUUACUACACUGAAAAUUCAAUGUAGUAACUUCCUAAUGAUCUUUGUAACGAGCUUUCUGAAUGGUCGAAACCUAACAACGAUGUUUGGCCGAAAGCUCCAUACCACGUGAAUUUUCGCUCUCUUCGUUUGUUUAGCGGGAAAUAGUCUUUGCACCGGUAGUAAUAGUAGUCCUAUUAAUAAUACAGUUUUAUUUAUUCCUUGAUCUUACCAACGUUGUUGUGUUAUGUCUCGUUAACUUACCUUGUUUUGUAUGAAUUGCAGCUCAUUCACCUAGCACCAUCAGCAUGAAGCUUCCAGAUACCCUUGAAUGGUCUGGUUCCAUUAAGUAUUAUACUCAAAAGACUGGCAAUGUCAGCUGGAAGAGUUGAACCC